rnacentral:lncRNA from 1 species
AUAUCGUCUUCUCCUUUCUUCCCUUACGAACAGAUUGGACGCAUCCACAAGACCAUUUAUUUCUUCAAAUUUUCUAACUUAUACUUUAAUGAGAGGCUAAAAAUAGAAACUUGUUCUAAAGCCACUUAAGUAGAAAAAACUACCACCCACAGAAACUAAACCCUAUUUCCCGUAAUCCAGUGUCUGGCUGGGGUCCUUCCUUAAAAAGUCACUACUGAUUUUGAGUAUUGCCUUCACUAUGAAAACCACCUAGUACUGGUUGAUACAUCCCCUUCUUUCAUAUACCAAAAUCUUCCUAGAUCAGCUCUAAACUUUCAUCCCUUUGCACAGCGUUCUUUGUGAAACAGGCUGCCUUUAUGCAAGCUAAGUAUAGGAAAUAUACAUAUAUAUAUAAAUUUCCUAGAUAUUAUACAAUCCUAAAUAUCCUCUCCCUCCACACAGGUCAUAUUAUUGAGAACUCAGCAUGUCUGAACACACUCAAAUUAAGAUAAUGUCUAAAUAAAUCUUUAAUUUUAUACCAUGUAAUAAAAAAGAAUAUGGAAUUUGUGUACACAAAGAUGAGUAAAAAUAGUCAUGCUGGUAAAAACUAUGUUUAUUGACACUGACUGGCAAAGACAAGGAAUCAGAGUUGUUAUUCAGUCUUUGCAGACACACUGCUUGAGUUAAGCAAAUUUCAACAAGUUCUGCAGCAUUAGUCAGACCUCCAAGCUUAAAAUUCUGCAUUGUUUAAUAUUUUCCAUUGCUGUGAAGGUAAACACAGUCAUUAAUCCAAAAUCUUGGCAACAGCAAUGUUUUGUUGUGAAAAAGUUGAUCACCAAGACUUUGCCAAAUAUAUGAGUGCAUAGGAAAUUUUGACAUACAAUAAAUUGGUGUAAUGGAUAAAAAAUAUUCUUGAAACAUAUUUGACUGGAUUUUUAUUGUGUAAAUCACCAUAACCAUGUAAAUAAGUAGCUUAGAAUGAUGUUAAAAUAUUUCUGAAAUAGUCCAAAAUAGCUUCACCUAUAAUUUAAAUUUAUUUUCCAGCAAUCAUAAGAAUCAAAUAAUCUUCUCCAGUAAAGCAAUAUUUUAUCCAGCAAAAAUAGUCAUGUUAUAGAGUCAUUUUUAAGAGGAUGUAUUUGAGAGUAAGCCAAAUAUCUAAGCCAAUAAAUUUUAAGUAAAAAAAAAAAAAGGAAAUUUGGAUGUUGGGUGCUUUUAGUAGACUCAGGUAAUUAUCAAUAAUUAUUUAGAUGAUUUUAUGAGAUACAAAAUUAAUUCAUAAUAUAAUUAUUUGCACUUCUAAAGAUUCUUACAGUGUAUCUGAGAAUAAAAAGUAAAAUUUAUUGUUAUGCAAUUACAUUUUCUGAAUUUUCUAUUAUAGACAUUUUUGAUAUAUAUAUAUAUAUUUGGAAGAACAUUAUAUAUGGGAUAUACACAGAAUGUGAUGUGGAGUUAUAAAAGAUUUGCCAUAUCUGUAGCUCAUUUCCUUCUUAUUGUUGUGCAGAGAUUUAUCCAGGAUGAUCAUUAAAUUGAGCCAAUGGAUGAUUGCCUGUAGUUAAAUCAUCCCAGCUUUCACAAUUCAGUAAGCAAUUACUCACUUCUUGGCUCUGUCUCCUCUUGAUUAACAUGAAGUUGAUAGAAGAAUUCAUUAGUGUGAGAAAUUAUUAGGAUCCGAUAGAGUAUAAGUGUCCAGUGGCAUUAUUAAAUUCAUCUCUUUAUUCUCUGAACUGAUAAAGUGAGUGUUUGUAGAGAUGUAGAUCUGACACUUGCUUCAUUCAAUUCCAU